GGCCUCCUCCCCAUGCUGUGCUCAGCUCCAGGGGCUCAGGGCAGCAUGCCCCUCUCUCCCCAGGACUUCCUGCGCUGUGUCACCGCGGCCCUCAUCUACUUUGCUAUCUCCAUCACGGCCGUCGCCAAGUACUCGGAUGGGGCUUCCAAAGCCGCUGGGGUGUUUGGCUUCUUUGCUACCAUCGUGUUUGCAAUUGAUUUCUACCUGAUCUUUAACGACGUGGCCAAAUUCCUCAAACAAGGGGACUCUGCAGAUGAGACCACAGCCCACAAGACAGAAGAAGAGAAUUCCGACUCGGACUCUGACUGAAGGCCUGGCGGGUGCCUUGGCAACCUGAGCCACACAGGCCUCCACCCCUGCGCCUCACAGGGGUCGCUGGCGUUGGAGCGGAGGCCUGGACUUCUGAGUUGCAGAGGGGGCUGCGGACACAGCAGGCCCCCUACAGCCUCAGGUUCUGCCUGAGCCCAGCCUACCAGGCUUGCCCCUCAGCUCAGCACUGUUGACCACGCUGCGUAUGAGGGCAUCUUGGGUAUCCCACUCCUUCUCCCCAUUUCUGUCCCACAGGCCUUCAGCCCUUUAACCUCUCUGCCAAAAACCAGCACAAGGAGACAAAGCAGAGCCUUGUCUGUAUCUGGGCAGCAGGUGUUCCAUGCUGCUAGGUGGCGGGGGUCGGGGGUCUUCUGUUUCACUAACAGGAACAAAGACAGAAACCAUGACAGGGCUGCCCCGCCAGGCCCCGGUGGGUUUGUCUGCACUUGGUGCUCCUGCCCACACCAGCCACUUUGGUGACAAUGACCCUUCCAAGAAUCUUUGGUUCAAGGGGCACCAGUUCCCUCUUCAUUCUUGAAGCAGGGAGAAAUUGACCUUUGCCUUGUCGCCCAGGAAGUGGGGCUCGGCACCCAUAACUAACACCUCCCACCCUUGGAAACCAUGUCUUCUGGGGGUGAGAUGACCAUUCUGGGUCUAAGACUGUUUCAAAGAAGAGCUCAUAGACUGACUGGUCCAGAAGACAGAGGGUACAACAGUGGCAUCACAGUGACAGUGUCAUGGGGAGCUGGGCGGGCCCAGCCAAACCCUCCUUCUUCCUAGAGCCCAGCCAGCAGGCAGGAGUUCCUGGACCCUCAGGA
rnacentral:sRNA from 1 species